rnacentral:tRNA from 1 species
CAUUAAAAAAUUUAAGCAAGAAUAAAACUUUUAAAUUUAAAAAUCAUAAUUACUACAUGAUCUAUGU